AAAAAGACAAAACAUAGUUUCCAUGUUCAACAUUUGACCGUCCGUAUUAUUUAAAAAAAUUAUGAAAAAAAAUUAAAAAGACAAGUCACACAUAAAAUAUUAAUCAUGUUUUAUCAUCAAACAGCAAUGAAAAUACGAAUUAUAAAAAAAUUUCAUAUAAGACGGACAGUUAAAGUUGGACAUGGAAAUUUAGGGUUUGUUUUUUU
rnacentral:pre_miRNA from 1 species